UCCCUGGUAGUAUAUCGGUUAGUACACGCGCCUGUCAUGACUCGGCAAAAAUACACUUCGCGCGAAAGCGGGGUUCGACUCCCCGCCAGGGAG